CUUCCCCAGGGCUGGAGCACGCCCAGCAUGUGGGUCGGGUUAUGGAUGGCUGCAACCCCUACCCAGCUACGGAUUGGGGGUCUGCAAUAUUGCUGUUGACAUGCCAACUCCUUUCUGUGAAACUCCAGCAAAAACGACCGGCUUGAUCCUGCUAUUCAUUGUACAGGAACGUCUCCCAGUUGUGCGUUAAACCAGUGUGCACAGUAGUGUGUGUUGGAGAAGGCCAAGUCAGAAGUACGCCAUCCGUCUGAAGGUGGUGAAAUCUGUGAUGAUCCUCGUAGUUCCCAGAAGAGUUUGUUGCAUCUCUUUGGAGUAUUCCUAAACAAAGCUGUCUCUUGUCUUUGUGCUCUGGUGAGCCCCUUCAAUAAACAACGGGAAGAGAGCUUUCGAAGGGCCGAGAGAUGAAUUUCAAGGCAGAGUGAUGAAGAAGACUUUCUUUCCAGCGCUUUUGAACUUCCAUCGUAUUAGAAAUCCCAGUGGCAAAUAAAAGGAAGAGAACAAGGUAUUUUGCCUUUGAAUCAAGGAACUAAGUCGGCUUUCAAAAUUUUAUUUGAAGUAAAUAAAACGAGAUUUGGGGGUUUGUUUGUUUGUCAUUUGUUUACUUACGAGAGGGUGAAAAUCUUGCCCCGGUUCAAGGAUGAGACAUCGUCUCUCCCCUUUCCAGUUCUAGUCUGCUUGGGAGCAGAGCAGCCAGUGUUAAAAGGAGGAAAGGACAGGGCCUGGUGCUCUUAGAAAAUGGGCAAAACAUGCUAUUCUCUCAUAAAAGAGAUGUUCUCUCUCUCUCUGCAUGCGCUACAAAGAGAGCAUGCAGUGCUCCUGCUUCAUUUGCAUUCCUGUGUAGCUGUUACUGUUUUCAAGUCCCAGGAUGUGAUGCUGAUGAAAGACAGUUAAUUCAAUUUCUACAGAGAAAUUGAUUAAUGGACUGGAUUAAAAUAAAUCCCCGGUGUCCUGGGUCUCCGCAAAGCAUACCAAUUCCAUUUUAUCUCCCAGUUCCCUCCUUCUCGCCUGCCACUUUGACAAUGGGUUGGGGAAAAAGAAAAGGGAUCGAAAGGAAGGGUGCUUAAAAAAAAAAAAGAGGAAGAGAGAUGAGAAAUGGCAGAUUCCUGA